UACAGAUUCCUGGUGUUCUCUGUCAUGUAAUGAGGGAUAGAAUGUAAGAGACUAGUGCAGAAGGCAAUCUCACACCUGAGGAGUUGCAGCUGCACUAAUCACCAAAGAUUGGGAACAGGCCUGCCCUUAAUAGGCCACAGCUGUGUCCAAUAAGGAUGGGUGCUAUAAAAGGGUGGGUUAGCUGGGUGAGGGAUGGUGUUUGUUGGUUGUGCCAUGAGCAGAGUUGGCUAGCUAAGCUGAGAAGAAGAAGGAGUUAGUGCUGCAAGGAGCUGCCCAUGAGAAGUCGCCGAGAAGGAAUCAUGCGGGAUCUUGAUGCUGCCCUUGAAGCCAGUAGACUGGAGUUCACCAUGGUGUGUGUUAGUUCUUAAUUGUUUACAUAGGAAUGAUAGCUACUUGAUCCAGCUGCGUCGCCUUGCAUCUGGUUUUUUCAUAUACUGAGACAGUAACAAAUCUGAUUUGCUGAAGACUGUUGAUCAAAAGUUGUUGGAGCGCAGAUCUUGAUGACUACUGGCAUAAGAUCUUUCUGUCUUGAAGAAGGAUGAAGUUGUGGCAAAAUUCAACAGCAAUUUUCUUUAUGCACUCAGCAGUCACUUUUCAUCAUCAGUGGCACAUGAAGUGGAAAAAAUGGUGAUUUGUAAGAGGAACAGGUUGUUAUUACUAUUGUUGUUAUUGCUUCUGUUGUUGUUUCUUCUGUAACUAUUAUGAUAGUUAUACAAUCUAUCCUAAGAGUCACUCUGAUCUAGAGGACAGAGUGACUUGGGGAUUAAAGCCUCACAAUGUGUCUAGCUCAAGGACAUUACUCUCACCUGUGCUGUGAAUUUGUUCCUAUAUCUUUGUGUUCCUUAACCAUGUAAUCUGUCCUUGCCACACAUUUUAACCUGUUGAUUCCCUCUUUCAUCUCAGUCUUCAUAUUUUAUGCUGAAAAAUGUCAUAUUUUCUUCUAAUAUUGAUAGGCACAGUCUAUGUUUUAAAACAAUUUCCUUCUACCCUCACAGAAAUGUAGCUGCUGAGCCACUGUGCAGCUUUAUCUUCCUGUUCUUUUUCAUUCACUUUAAAUGUUUCCAAACUUUUUUGCCCUUGAGCCAAGGAUUUUCUAAGGUGCAUCUUGAAACGGGUUAUGCAGCCGGGUUCUGUCUGUAAAACCAGGAGACAAGAGUUCACUUAAAACGUGGUUGUGUGACUCAGCUCAAAUUGAUAUAAUUUUGAUCAGAGUCUACAAAUGCUUAUUUCUCAAAUGCCGUUUCAUAAGUGGUGAAAUAAAUAAAUUGCAAACUA